CCUACUCUCUACUAUUUUCCAUUUCAUUGUUAUCUUUUCACUUUCAGAUACCAAAUGCAGCGUUAGGGUUUCGAAAUGCUUGUGUAGAUUUCAUGUCUAUUUUAUCUUCGUUCCCCAAAUUAGGGCUUGAGUUGAGUAAUUCACACUCUUUGAUGGUGUUUUGCUUAUUCUAAUUUUGUGUGGUGGUGUGGUUUUAUUUGGGAUUCUGGUGUGCAAUUGGCCAAGAAAUGAAUAUUGGGAGCUCAGUAUUUACUGAUGUUGUAAGAGGAAGAGUAAUUUUCAGGGUUGGGCUUGGCUUUUAUGCUUAGCAGGCAUGGCAAGUAAUGUGCGUUGAAAGAACAGCUAUUAUCACUAGAGUUAUAAGCAAAUACUUCCUGAAACAUGCUCCAAUAUAGUUAGGUAGUUCUAUUGGUGCAUAUAUGUGUAGUCUCUGUUGAAGAGUUUUUUUAGACUGUUUAGGCCAUUGUAGGGUGCUCCAGACUGCGUGUUGAAAUUUUCAAUUCCAUAUGUGCGUCUGUAUGACUUUUGCUACUGUUGCAACGAGAUGCUAGAUUUGCUUCAGAAGUCCUGCUGUUCUUCUUUUGCUUUUUCAUUUUGUAUUUGAGAUGCAAGAUUUGCUAUUCAAUGGGGUUUGGGAGGGGGGAUCAGGAACAUGGGUUCUGAUUUCUCAGUCCUCGUGUGUUCCUUUGCUGGUGUUGCUAAAUUGCUGAAUACUGUAGAUAUGCUUACUGGCUGAUCCUGAACUAGAAGCAAUCAGACAAAGAAGGAUGCAGCGUUAGGGUUUGGAAAUGCUUGUGCAGAUUUCAUGUCUAUUUUAUCUUCGUUCCCCAAAUUAGGGCUUGAGUUGAGUAAUUCACAGUCUUUGAUGUUGUUUUGCA